ensembl:misc_RNA 7SK 7SK RNA
GGAUGUGAGGGCGAUCUGGCUGCGACAUCUGUCAACCCAUUGAUCGCCAGGGUUGAUUCCGCUGAUAUGGCUGGCUAGGCGGGUGUCCCCUUCCUCCCUCACCGCUCCUUGUGCGUCCCUUCAGAAGCUGCGCGGCCUUCCCCGAAUAGAGACUGAACGGUCAUCGGUCCAGGGUAUACGAGUAGCUGCAUUCCCCUGCUAGAACCUUCAGACAAGCUCUCAAGAAUAUUGGGGUGUAUUUCACAAAGCAAGAGACUAAGGUGAU